rnacentral:rRNA from 1 species
UAAAUUGAAGAGUUUGAUCAUGGCUCAGAUUGAACGCUGGCGGCAGGCCUAACACAUGCAAGUCGAACGGUAACAGGAAGCAGCUUGCUGCUUCGCUGACGAGUGGCGGACGGGUGAGUAAUGUCUGGGAAACUGCCUGAUGGAGGGGGAUAACUACUGGAAACGGUGGCUAAUACCGCAUAACGUCGCAAGACCAAAGAGGGGGACCUUCGGGCCUCUUGCCAUCAGAUGUGCCCAGAUGGGAUUAGCUUGUUGGUGAGGUAACGGCUCACCAAGGCGACGAUCCCUAGCUGGUCUGAGAGGAUGACCAGCCACACUGGAACUGAGACACGGUCCAGACUCCUACGGGAGGCAGCAGUGGGGAAUAUUGCACAAUGGGCGCAAGCCUGAUGCAGCCAUGCCGCGUGUAUGAAGAAGGCCUUCGGGUUGUAAAGUACUUUCAGCGGGGAGGAAGGUGUUGUGGUUAAUAACCGCAGCAAUUGACGUUACCCGCAGAAGAAGCACCGGCUAACUCCGUGCCAGCAGCCGCGGUAAUACGGAGGGUGCAAGCGUUAAUCGGAAUUACUGGGCGUAAAGCGCACGCAGGCGGUCUGUCAAGUCGGAUGUGAAAUCCCCGGGCUCAACCUGGGAACUGCAUUCGAAACUGGCAGGCUUGAGUCUUGUAGAGGGGGGUAGAAUUCCAGGUGUAGCGGUGAAAUGCGUAGAGAUCUGGAGGAAUACCGGUGGCGAAGGCGGCCCCCUGGACAAAGACUGACGCUCAGGUGCGAAAGCGUGGGGAGCAAACAGGAUUAGAUACCCUGGUAGUCCACGCCGUAAACGAUGUCUACUUGGAGGUUGUGCCCUUGAGGCGUGGCUUCCGGAGCUAACGCGUUAAGUAGACCGCCUGGGGAGUACGGCCGCAAGGUUAAAACUCAAAUGAAUUGACGGGGGCCCGCACAAGCGGUGGAGCAUGUGGUUUAAUUCGAUGCAACGCGAAGAACCUUACCUGGUCUUGACAUCCACAGAACUUUCCAGAGAUGGAUUGGUGCCUUCGGGAACUGUGAGACAGGUGCUGCAUGGCUGUCGUCAGCUCGUGUUGUGAAAUGUUGGGUUAAGUCCCGCAACGAGCGCAACCCUUAUCCUUUGUUGCCAGCGAUUAGGUCGGGAACUCAAAGGAGACUGCCAGUGAUAAACUGGAGGAAGGUGGGGAUGACGUCAAGUCAUCAUGGCCCUUACGACCAGGGCUACACACGUGCUACAAUGGCGCAUACAAAGAGAAGCGACCUCGCGAGAGCAAGCGGACCUCAUAAAGUGCGUCGUAGUCCGGAUUGGAGUCUGCAACUCGACUCCAUGAAGUCGGAAUCGCUAGUAAUCGUGGAUCAGAAUGCCACGGUGAAUACGUUCCCGGGCCUUGUACACACCGCCCGUCACACCAUGGGAGUGGGUUGCAAAAGAAGUAGGUAGCUUAACCUUCGGGAGGGCGCUUACCACUUUGUGAUUCAUGACUGGGGUGAAGUCGUAACAAGGUAACCGUAGGGGAACCUGCGGUUGGAUCACCUCCUUACCUUAAAGAA